rnacentral:tRNA from 1 species
UGUUCUGUGGCUUAGUUGGUUAAAGCGCUGGUCUAGCGAAUACGGAGUCGUGGGUUCUAAUCCCACCAGAACGC